rnacentral:rRNA from 1 species
UACGUAGGGGGCUAGCGUUGUCCGGAAUCAUUGGGCGUGAAGAGCGCGUAGGCGGCUAGAUAAGUCCGGUGUGAAAGUCACAGGCUCAACCUGUGAAUGCCGCUGGAAACUGUCUGGCUAGAGUCCGGAAGGGGCGAGUGGAAUUCCUGGUGUAGCGGUGAAAUGCGCAGAUAUCAGGAGGAACACCAAUGGCGAAGGCAGCUCGCUGGGACGGUACUGACGCUGGAGGCGCGAAAGCGUGGGGAGCAAACAGG